rnacentral:rRNA from 1 species
UACGGGGGGGGCAAGCGUUGUUCGGAAUUACUGGGCGUAAAGGGCGCGUAGGCGGCCUGCUAAGUCGGACGUGAAAUCCCUCGGCUCAACCGAGGAACUGCAUCCGAUACUGGCGGGCUUGAAUCCGGGAGAGGGAUGUGGAAUUCCAGGUGUAGCGGUGAAAUGCGUAGAUAUCUGGAGGAACACCGGUGGCGAAGGCGGCAUCCUGGACCGGUAUUGACGCUGAGGCGCGAAAGCUAGGGGAGCAAACGGG